rnacentral:lncRNA from 1 species
GAAUUUGAAUUAAGAAAUAUUUUCAAAAUUUAUAAUUGAUAGUCAUAUUUCUUAUGAAAAUGAAAAAAAAUAUAUAUAGUCAAUUAUAAUCUAAUUCAAUUUUUAUUUAUCUUUUUAUCUGAGUUUACCUGUAAAAUGAAUGCGCGCAAAUGUAAUCAAAAGCUGCGCGCAAACGUAAAACAUUUUAAUCCCCAAAUGCGCGCAAACGUAGUGCGCCCAUUCAG